rnacentral:misc_RNA from 1 species
GAUGAAGAACGUAGCGAAAUGCGAUAAGUAAUGUGAAUUGCAGAAUUCAGUGAAUCAUCGAAUCUUUGAACGCAUCUUGCGCUCCUUGGUAUUCUGAGGAGCAUGCCUGUUUGAGUGUCAUUAAAUUCUCAACUACACUGACUUUGAAUUGGUGUGGCUUGGAUUUGGGGGGAAAAUUGUUGUGGGCUUUUUGUAUAGUCUGCUCCCCUGAAAUUGAUUAGCGGUACCUUUGUGGAACUGUCUACAGGUGUGAUAAUUAUCUACAUCUUAGACAUCUGCUGGAAUGCUGCUUUCUAAACCUUACUUGUAUUGACAAUCUUGACCUCAAAUCAGGUAGGACUACCCGCUGAACUUAAGCAUAUCAAUAGGGAGGA